rnacentral:rRNA from 1 species
ACGAACGCUGGCGGCGUGCUUAACACAUGCCAGUCGAACGGAAAGGCCCUGCUUUUGUGGGGUGCUCGAGUGGCGAACGGGUGAGUAACACGUGAGUAACCUGCCCUUUACUUUGGGAUAACUUCAGGAAACUGGGGCUAAUACCGGAUAGGAACUCCUGCUGCAUGGUGGGGGUUGGAAAGUUUCGGCGGUUGGGGAUGGACUCGCGGGUUAUCAGCUUGUUUGUGGGGUAGUGGCUUACCAAGGCUUUGACGGGUAGCCGGCCUGAGAGGGUAACCGGCCACAUUGGGACUACGAUACGGCGCAGACUCCUACGGGAGGCAGCAGUGGGGAAUAUUGCACAAUGGGCGGAAGCCUGAUGCAGCAACGCCGCGUGCGGGAUGACGGCCUUCGGGUUGUAAACCGCUUUCGCCUGUGACGAAGCGUGAGUGACGGUAAUGGGUAAAGAAGCACCGGCUAACUACGUG